rnacentral:rRNA from 1 species
AGCAGCCGCGGUAAUUCCAGCUCCAAUAGCGUAUAUUAAAGUUGUUGCAGUUAAAAAGCUCGUAGUUGAAUUUCGGGGUCAGUAGGUCGGUCGUGCCUACGGUAUGCACUGGUCUCACUGAUUCCUCCUUCUUGAAGAACCGUAAUGUCAUUAACUUGGUGUUGCGGGGAAACAGGACUGUUACUUUGAAAAAAUUAGAGUGUUUAAAGCAGGCAAACGCCUGAAUACAUUAGCAUGGAAUAAUGAAAUAGGACGUUCGAUCCUAUUUUGUUGGUUUCUAGGAUUGACGUAAUGAUUAAUAGGGAUAGUUGGGGGUAUUAGUAUUCAAUUGUCAGAGGUGAAAUUCUUGGAUUUAUUGAAGACUGACUACUGCGAAAGCAUUUGCCAAGGAUGUUUUCAUUAAUCAAGAACGAAAGUUAGGGAUCGAAGACGAUCAGAUACCGUCGUAGUCUUAACCAUAAACUAUGCCGACUAGGGAUCGGAUGAUAGUUUAAUUUUUAAUGUACUUCAUUCCGGCGCC